UCCAUGAAAGGAGUUAGUUGUCGAUUGCAAUUAUCAAUUAUGGCUUUCCAAUCGAGCAGCGUAGAAUAAUCUUCUUCAUGAACUUGCAACUUUCUUCCAUGGACACUCUCCAAAUUCCAAUUCCAUCUUUCCACUCGGAGCAUGAAUUGCCGCUGUAAAUGUGGAUUAUCCGCUGAAGAUGAUUUCAAAUUUGUGCUUCAUGAUGCGCUUGAUUCUUCCGGCAUCGAUACGUCUCACGCGCCAGGGCUGCAAGGGUAGGCUUUUGCUCGCAGAUAAAAGACGUCUCUGACAUUGAGAGAGGAACAAGUAUGGCUAUUAAUAGAGGGGUUGAUUUAGCCAGAGCAGCUCUUCAUAUAGCAGCUGAAGAUGACUCCCUCAUCUCACACUCUUCUGUUCCAUUGCCAGUUGAUGAUUUCAUUGAGAGAUUAGAUACCCUCUCUAUCGGAUUUUGCUCACCAGACAAUUUUCUUGACUGUUUAGAACGAUAACUAUACCUCUGUUUCCAUGCUCUCCCUUAUAUACUCAGAGAUUCUACAGAUUCUUCGCAUGUUGGGUGUUCUGAAUUUUGAUGUUGAAAUCUUCUUUCCCCGUGAUUCACAUAGUUCUCCCAGAGGGUAUCUAAAACAAAAGAUCAAAGAAUCUGAUCAAUCACAUAUUAUGACAUCACAAUCUUUACUAGUGGAGGUGAUAAUUUUGUUAAUUGCUGUCUAGUUAAAUAUGGACCAUAUGAUCCUUUACGGAAGGUCAGUUGUGGGCAUCCUUCUGAACUUGUCCUGCAUGAUCUUUGACUAGACUGUGUUUGAUGGUUGUGUUUGCUCCUUUUAUAUCUUGGUAUUUGAAAUCACAUUGGAGAACCUCCUAGUCAGACCAAGUAUGUAGGAGCCCCUGAGUAAAUAUUACAAUUAAUGUGUUUGUAGGCGUCCAACAUUGUACUCCAUUAGUUAUGCUUCCAUUUCACCUAGCUAUGCCAGAAUCCAGAUGUCAUUUUUAUUAUUUUGCUAUGAAAAGAGCAAGCCUCACAUGUUGAACUUUAAAUCAAAUCUAAGAUAUAUUCACUGGGUAAAUAACCUUAUAAUUUUGCAUCUAAGACUCCAAGAAUUCUGUUUAUCCUUUUACAUCUUUUAACACAGAUUUAAUAAAGUGAGUCGGCAACCAGUUUAUUUAUCAUCAAAUUUAAUGAUAUGUGCUAAGGGAAAGAACAAUUCCUUAAUAUACUCUUGAGAUCUUGGAAUUAAAGGGUUGGUGGUAACCUAAUGUUGUUCCCAUUUUUUAGUUGAGUGACUCAAUGUUGCAUUUUAUUUGCAGCAACAAACUGGUUCAGACACCAAUGUCGAGGAAGAAGCCGUAAAGAAACUAGUAGUACGGUUGAACCUGAUUUUGAUGGGGGUUGGUUGGUCAAAACAACAGGAGCACAGAAAUAUCCUUUUCAAAAACUUUGAACCAUGCUUAUUUUGUGUAGUGGCCUUGGACCAAAAGAAUUGGUACAAAAAUGGUAGCUAUAAAUACAACAAGAUGGAUCCAUAAUCAACCGUCUUCUGUAAAAACUCUGAAUAUGAAAUCCCUGAAGCGUUUGGAGUAUUGCUUGGGAUCCACAGCUGAGAUAGAGGAUGUCAAUGAUGCCGAAAAUGAGGACCACGUCGUAGUACUCCCCUGUCGGCUCUCCCACUAGCUGAGCCUCCCCAUUAUUUUUCCUUACUGUCAGCUCGGCUCGUGCAGGGAUGUUGGCACCUAGUUUGAACGUUGUCGAC